rnacentral:misc_RNA from 1 species
GAUAAAUUUUUACAAUUAAAUGGAGGUGUUUUCAUUUUUCCAAGCUCUGGCGUUGCAGUUAGUGGCAUAGAUUCAGUAGUUCCAAUAAUGCUUGUGUCAAAACUAAUUGAUCCAUUUGCAGCACUCGAGUCGAACUGAGGUUCGCCAAUGAUAUUAGCGGAUGGACUAUCAAAAAAUGAUACCUCUGGAUAGACACAUUCAAUAUCAGGAUUCAUUACCUUCUUCUCAGCAUCUGCAGCCUCUUGAAGCUCCAAUACAAAUUCAAGUUUUCCCAUCACAUCAUGCAUGGUUGGUCGUUCAAUCCCUUUAUUACUUAGACAACUUAAUGCAAUCUCCACAAAUUUACUAGAACACUCAGGAGCUAUGCGGCCCUUCAGAUGAGGAUCAAUUAUUUGACAAAGAGUCCCAUUCUGGAUGCAUUUUUGUGCCCAAUUGACCAAAUUCAUUUGUUCCUCCUCCAACUUCUGGUUGAGAGGCUUCCGAGCACACAACACUUCCAAUAAUACUACCCCAAAUGAAUACACAUCAGAUUUUUCUGUCAAUUGUUGGUAUCGAGCAUAUUCUGGAUCUAGAUACCCCCAAGUUCCCUUUACUAUGGUACUAACUGCCUCAUUGUAAGCUAUUUUUGAUAACCCGAAAUCUGAAACUUUGGCAACCCACUUUUCAUCUAACAGAAUAUUGCUAGUCUUUACAUCACGAUGGAUUAUUGUAUUUGCCAAUUCAGCAUGAAGAUAAUGCAAUCCGCGUGCUGCACCGAUGCAUAUCUGGAGCCUUUUCUUCCAUGGAAGUGGAUUGUUG